GUGAGAGUAGCUCAGUUGGCUAGAGCACCAGAUUGUGGCUCUGGGGGUCGCGGGUUCGAAUCCCGUCUUUCACCC
rnacentral:tRNA from 1 species